rnacentral:lncRNA from 1 species
AGGGUUUCUGCUCUGCCCAAAGCCCCCCAAAGGCACAAGCUUCGCCAACAGAUUAUUAAAGCUUGGGUUUGGAGGUAGUUUGAUGAGCAGGUUGCUCAACCUCAAAGGCCCGUUGGGCUGGGAGACUUGGAGAAUUGCUGUUUGAGUUCACUGGAAAGACAGCAGUGGGUAGGUAUCUGAGACAGUCAAAAGUGAAACUUGCUAUCAGACCAAAGGGAGAGGAAAGGGGCCUGCUAGAGGCCUUUUUCUGAGAGGAGCAUCAGCCACCCAAGAGGGCGUAGAGGAAGGAAGCACACAAAGAAACCCCAGGUUCUUCCCUUCAAGACAGGUGUGGCCCUGAGGUUUGCCAUUUAUAGUUCAGAAACCAUCAGCCUCUGCACAAGGACCAGUUCAGCUCCAAAUUCCUCUCCAUUGAUGCUCUCUCAGAUCUGAGUGAUCAUGAAGGAGGCCAUGUAUUGAACAGCUCCCGUAAGACGCUGUAGUCAUCACCGGAAAGGUGAUUUCAUCGUGCAGUGAGACAUGAACCUGGAUGUCCUAGCAGUACAGUGAGGACAUUAAUCAUUUUAUGGUUUGACUCAUUCGUAUCACAUUAAGCUAAUUGGAAAUUCUAUAAGUCAUUUAGGAGUCAAAAUUCCAGAUUCAAAGGGAAUUCUGUCUCUUGCCCAGACUAUCAACCCAUCCCAUCCCCAAAAUAAAUGUAAACAAUUCCCAGUUGUAAAAACAUGACACUAAAUUAUGGAAAUCACCAUCAUUACUAACUCAUGUGAAUACUUCCCAUUUUGAAGCAACUGUAAUUGUUUUAAAUAAUAGAAUUACAAUUGCCUUUAAAACCAUGCCUCAGCAUUUUGAAAUUUAAAAAGCUCUGUUAAGACUUCUGUGCUUCUGGGUAGAUGGACUGUGUCAGGAGGGCCUGGGAGGAGAGGAAUGUAAAGUUAAUAAAGAAAUUAAUAGAAAAAAAAAGA